CAAAAACAUCUCCUUUUGACAUAUUUAAGGUACCGUCUGCUCAAUGCAAUUUGUAAAUAGCCGCAGUAUUCUGACUGUGCUAAGGUAGCAUAAUCAUUAGUCUUUUAAUUGGAGGCUGGUAUGAAUGACGAGACGAGAAAAUGACUGUCUCUAUAAUAAACUUUGAAUUUCAUUUCUGAGUGAAAAAGCUCAGAUAAUUUUGAAGGACGAUCAGACCCUUUGGAGCUUUAUUUACUUCAAAAAUUUGAAUUUGUUUUAAUUGAUUGAAUGGAAAGUAAAUUUUGUUGGGGCGACAGGGAGUAAAAUAUAACACUCUUUUUUUAAAACAAUCCUAAUUGGAAAAUUGAUCCUUAAAGUGAGAUUAUAAGACUAAGUUACCCUAGGGAUAACAGCGUAAUCUUUUUGGAGAGUUCAAAUCGAUAAAAAGGUUUGCGACCUCGAUGUUGGAUUAAGAGAUUGGCAAGGUGCAGAAGUUUUGCUGGAAAGUCUGUUCGACUUUUAAUCUCUUACAUGAUCUGA
rnacentral:rRNA from 1 species